UCUCAGAAAAGAGAGAGAGAGAGAGAGAGAGAGAGAGAGAGAGAGCGAGAGAGAGAGAGAGCUGUGAGGGGCAGAGACUGGAGCAGGGGCCUGCGGGACUUAGGUGUAAGCCAGUGCACGUGACUUUAAUUCCAGUCCUCUGGAGGAGGAGGCAGGUAGAUCUGUUUGAGGUCAGCCUGAUCUACAAGGAGAGUCCCAAGCCAGCCAGGGCUACAUAGUAAGACCCUGUCCCCAUCUGACUACUUCUCAUUCAUUUGCAUCUGUCUCCACAGCCCGCUGUUAGAUUCAAACCCUAGCUCUGACUCAGGUGUCAUCAGGUGGACACAUGUCACCAGAGCAGUGUUUGGUGCUCAGUCAGCACUUCUUGCUGGUGUGUCUGUCAUUAGCCUGUUUGUCCUGCUGCUCUUCACUGACUGCAAACCCUGACUGAAGCAUCCCAUGGGAGGUGGUCAGAGAAAUCCUGGUGUGUGCCACUUCUCCCAGACAGAGAACAAUCUGACGUGAGAGUCUCCACUGAAAUGGAGACUGCUACCUAGCCAGCAAUGUAGGUGGUCUCUUGGAGCUGAGAGUGGUCUAUGGAGACAUCGACCUUACAGCUGCAGAGAGUUGAACUCUGCCAAAUGAAUUCUUCCCCAAAGGCUCUGCCAAGGAGCUGAGCUACACAGAUUCCUUCUGCUCAGCCUUGGAAGCGCUGUGCAGGGACCCAGGCUGUAUCCAGGUGGGCCCUGGCCUUCAGGGUAGUGAUGCUCGCCCUCCUGGGAUCCCAGAAGUCCCUGUCCCCACCCCACCCCAGCCUAGAGAGCCUCAUGGAAAUGGUGCAAUUGGAUCCAGAUGGGCCUGGUAAGGCUCCAGGGCUUCAAGGGGGCCCUGAAAACGGCCAAGAUUUUCUGUAUAAAACAAAGUUACACAAGCCAAGAUACUUGGAGAAUCCUUUAGGAAGACCCAUGGCCCCACUUCUGCCUAAGCUGUGGAUUGCUGCCUCUUAUGAAAAAUAAGACUUUGCUAAUUCUUUCUAGAAGGAUCCAAAAGAGGUCUUUCAACUUCAGAGUUUGAAGUUGGUUUGUUUCUAAGAAGAAGAAGGACCAUGAGGAAGUGGCAGGAUACCAGAGGUUGCUGCAGGAGGGCAGGCAGGGGGUGUCUGGACAUCAGAGGGCAGUGUCCAGACCCACCAAGAGUGCAAGGCAAGGUGGCAGGGUGGGAGGAAUGACGGGGGGGGGGGUGAUGUUUACAACACACCUCCAUGAGGUCUUGGGAUCUCCAAGGGCUCAGGGAACUUCAUUCCCAGAACCCAGGGAACAUGUCCCCAACUCAGGUCAGGGGCCACAAAACCCAAAAAGCAACAACAACAAAAGCACUGGAAACCCCUCUUCAUGUCUUCCCUUUGACCCUCAUAAGGCCCAUACUGCAGUAAGUACUAUAUCACGGCCUGCCUUCCUGCCUCAUAUUCAUCAGCUUAGGGCUGGAGAGAUGGCUCAGUGGUUAAGAGCAC